UACAGAGGGGGCAAGCGUUAUUCGGAAUUAUUGGGCGUAAAGGGCGCGUAGGCGGCCUGACAAGUGGAAGGUGAAAUCCCUCGGCUUAACCGAGGAACUGCCCUCCAAACUGUCUGGCUUGAGACCGGGAGAGGUGAGUGGAAUUCCCAGUGUAGCGGUGAAAUGCGCAGAUAUCAGGAAGAACACCCGUGGCGAAAGCGGCUCUCUGGAACGGUACUGACGCUGAGACGCGAAAGCGUGGGGAGCGAACAGG
rnacentral:rRNA from 1 species